rnacentral:misc_RNA from 1 species
GAGCCCCCAACCAUUCAUUGAAACUGCUUGUUCAGGUAGUCCCCCUAAUGUGAUCCACACAUUCUUUUCUUUGUCAUAUUUCCUCACCUCCUUUUGUGCAUAAUCAGCUGCAUAAAGCUCAUCAUUUGCAACUGCAACUAAAGGAGGUGCCUCAGCUGCAGCAGAUGUUUCAUUCCCCCCUGUUCCUCCAUUUCGUGCAGGUAACAUAUCAGGUAUCACAUGCCACGUUCUUGUUUCCAUAUCAUAUACCUCCCCACACGUAAGCAUCUUUGUAUUGCCUGUCCCAAUCCCACCAAUAACAUAAAAUUUGCCAUCCAUAAAUACUCCAGAACACAUUUUCCUGGCUUUAUUCAUGCUUGGAAUGCUAAUCCACGUGCCUGUUUCCGAAUUAUAAAGCUCUGCCGAGCUCAAAACAUUGCCAGCUGGAUCACAACCGCCAGCCAAAAUUGCAAUUUCCCCAAGACUGGCGGACCCGAACAAGCACCGGGGUGUGUUCAUUUUCAUGCCGGAUGUCCACUUGUUCGUUAAAAUGCUAUAUCUAUAAAUAACAUGAGAUUCUAUUUCCUUUCCAAAAACUAGCAGUUCUGUACCAACGGCCAAUGAUUCCUUAUCCGAACACAUGAAGCAUUCAUUUGAAUUCAUUCUUGGCAAAUGCAUCCAUCGGCGGCAAAUAGGAUCAAAGGCCUCCCAUUCAAGAAGAUUGCAGGAGAAGUACACCCAGUGCUCAACAAUACCCAUUUUCCGCCUCAGCUUAUACAGCUGACCACUCUGAACUACGGACUGGAAGCUUUUAUUCAAUGAAGCAAUGGUGCCAUAAUCAGACCUUGAGCAGUGGAGGAGACAGCUUAUUGACAGUUCUCGACCAAGUUGAUUAAUAAGCGAACUUGAAUCUGAUUUAUCCUCCACCUGAUCCUGAUUAUCUGGUUGAUCAGUUUGUGCAACAGCAAGAACAUGCAGACCUGCCAUUGGAUGCUGAUUAUCUGGUUGAUCAAUUUGCACAGCAGAAAGACUGUUCAGACCCACAGCUUGAUGCUGGUUAUCUGGCUGAUCGGUUUGCACAGCAGAAAGACCACCCAGACCAGUUGCUUGAUGCUGAUCUGGUUGAUCAGAUUGCACAGCAGAAAGAACACAUAUAUCCUCUGCUUGAGGCUGAUCAUCUGGUUCAUCAGUUUGGCAGACAGGAAGAACAUGUAGACCCUCCAUCUUUUCCUGUCUCUCCUGGACGUCCGAUGGCCUAGCUGCCUUUUUUGAUGCAACAUCUUCUCCAUCUUCCAACCUGCGCUUGCUAGAGCGCUCAACAACACGAAAAGUAUUGUAAAUCCACGGGCCCUCUUGCUCGCAUGAGGCAGGUAAUUCCCUUGAUAUUAUAUAAGAUCCCUCCAACAUGUUGCUGGAAUUAUAUAACCAAAGGGCUGAAAACUUGCCUUCCUUCCUCACCAUAAUAAAAUGCAAAAAAAAUCGAUCAAUAAAUAAAAAUCAUAUCUUUCAAUUAAUUCAUAUAUUUAAAAGUAUAUCUGGCUAAAUAAUAUGAUAUUUAAAUGAAAUGAAUUAAAAAGUAAGAUCCUUUUAACCACAGCGCAUGCAACCAAAAAAAGUCCAUUCUAGCUAAAAUAGGAAAUGAAACCACGGAAUCAUAAACAAAAACCCAGAUCUUCAUAUCCACACAAACACACACAGAAGCUCUCAAUGGAACCAUUUAUGACACAACAGAUCAGAAACUUUAUCUAUCAGCAAUAAAUUCGUGCAUGAUAAGAACAAUCUAGUAAUCAUGAACAAAAGAUUACUUAAAAUUAAGGGGGAAAAAAAGCCUACAAGAUAAAGAAAAUGAAUGACACUGAAAACAGCUAUCAGUAAGAAAUGGAAAGUAACCAAAUCAGAUCUCUGAGCUCACAGCAACAAGGUGAUUGCAACACAUAACAGACUUAUAAUCAAAAUUGCAACAGUUAAAAAGCAGAAUUCAAUUUCUCAACAAAUUUCCCUCUAAACCAAAAACUAACAAAACAAAGAUCUGCCAACAGAAAACACCAGCACCAAUCUGCGAUAAACUCUAUCGAUAUAAACACUGAUAAAUGGAGG